rnacentral:rRNA from 1 species
UUGCGGUUAAAAAGCUCGUAGUUGGAUCUCGGCGGGCAGGGGGUGGUUCGCUCUUCAGCGCUACUGCCCCGCUUUGCCCGUGUGAUUGGCGGAGGUUUCGGGGUGCUCUUCGUUGAGUGACUCGGAGCGCCGUCAGGUUUACUUUGAAAAAAUUAGAGUGCUCAAAGCAGGCUUUUCACGCUUGAAUAUUCGUGCAUGGAAUAAUGGAAUAGGAACUCGUUUCUAUUUUGUUGGUUUUCGGAAAUCGAGUUAAUGAUUAACAGGGACAAUUGGGGGCAUUAGUAUUCAGACGACAGAGGUGAAAUUCUUGGACCGUCUGAAGACUGACUACUGCGAAAGCAUUUGCCAAGAGUGUUUUCAUUAAUCAAGAACGAAAGUUAGAGGUUCGAAGGCGAUCAGAUACCGCCCUAGUUCUAACCAUAAACGAUGCCAGCUAGCGAUCUGCCGAGUUUUUUUUGUAGGCUCCGCAGGAAGCUUUCGGGAAACCAAAGCUUUUGGGUUCCCGGGGGAAGUAUGGUUGCAAAGCUGAAACUUAA